GAUGAACGCUGGCGGCGUGCCUAAUACAUGCAAGUCGAGCGAACGGACGAGAAGCUUGCUUCUCUGAUGUUAGCGGCGGACGGGUGAGUAACACGUGGAUAACCUACCUAUAAGACUGGGAUAACUUCGGGAAACCGGAGCUAAUACCGGAUAAUAUUUUGAACCGCAUGGUUCAAAAGUGAAAGACGGUCUUGCUGUCACUUAUAGAUGGAUCCGCGCUGCAUUAGCUAGUUGGUAAGGUAACGGCUUACCAAGGCAACGAUGCAUAGCCGACCUGAGAGGGUGAUCGGCCACACUGGAACUGAGACACGGUCCAGACUCCUAAGGGAGGCAGCAGUAGGGAAUCUUCCGCAAUGGGCGAAAGCCUGACGGAGCAACGCCGCGUGAGUGAUGAAGGUCUUCGGAUCGUAAAACUCUGUUAUUAGGGAAGAACAGAUGUGUAAGUAACUGUGCACAUCUUGACGGUACCUAAUCAGAAAGCCACGGCUAACUACGUG
rnacentral:rRNA from 1 species